GCCUGGGUGGCUCAGUCCGGUUGAGCAUCUGACUUCGGCUCAGGUCAUGAUCUCAGGGUCUGUGAGUUCGAGCCCCGCGUCAGGCU
rnacentral:tRNA from 1 species